CAGGCCUAACACAUGCAAGUCGAGGGGCAGCGGGUGUAGCAAUACAUGCCGGCGACCGGCGAAAGGGUGAGUAACGCGUGAGCAACAUGCCCGUAUGUGGGGGAUAGUCGAUGGAAACGUCGCGUAAUACCCCGUAACAUAUUUCCCUGCAUGGGGAGAUAUUGAAAGAUUGAUUGCAUACGGAUUGGCUCGCGUACCAUUAGGUAGACGGCGGGGUAACGGCCCACCGUGCCGACGAUGGUUAGGGGUUCUGAGAGGAAGGUCCCCCACAUUGGAACUGAGACACGGUCCAGACUCCUACGGGAGGCAGCAGUGAGGAAUAUUGGACAAUGGCCGGAAGGCUGAUCCAGCCAUGCCGCGUGCGGGAGGGCGGCCCUAUGGGUUGUAAACCGCUUUUGCAUGGGAGCAAUAAGGGUCACGUGUGGCCCGAUGAGAGUACCAUACGAAUAAGCAUCGGCUAACUCCGUGCCAGCAGCCGCGGUAAUACGGAGGAUGCAAGCGUUAUCCGGAUUUAUUGGGUUUAAAGGGUGCGUAGGCGGCUUGGUAAGCGGGAGGUGAAAUGCCGGCGCUCAACGUCGGAAGUGCCUCCCGAACUGUCGGGCUUGAAUGGUUGUGCCGUGGGAGGAAUGAGUGGUGUAGCGGUGAAAUGCUUAGAGAUCACUCAGAACACCGAUUGCGAAGGCAUCUCACGAACGACUGAUUGACGCUGAGGCACGAAAGCGUGGGGAUCAAACAGGAUUAGAUACCCUGGUAGUCCACGCAGUAAACGAUGAUGGCUAACCGCUGGUUCAAUCGGAUCAGUGGCCAAGCGAAAGCGAUAAGCCAUCCACCUGGGGAGUACGACCGCAAGGUUGAAACUCAAAGGAAUUGACGGGGGCCCGCACAAGCGGAGGAACAUGUGGUUUAAUUCGAUGAUACGCGAGGAACCUUACCCGGGCUCGAACGGUGCAGGAAGAGAUCUGGAGACAGUGACGCCCUUCGGGGCCUGCAUCGAGGUGCUGCAUGGUUGUCGUCAGCUCGUGCCGUGAGGUGUCGGCUCAAGUGCCAUAACGAGCGCAACCCUUGUCGUCAGUUGCCAUCAGGUGAAGCUGGGGACUCUGACGAGACUGCCACCGCAAGGUGUGAGGAGGGGGGGGAUGACGUCAAAUCAGCACGGCCCUUACGUCCGGGGCGACACACGUGUUACAAUGGCGGCCACAGAGGGAAGCUACCUGGUGACAGGGAGGGAAUCCCGAAAAGCCGCCUCAGUUCGGAUCGGAGUCUGCAACCCGACUCCGUGAAGCUGGAUUCGCUAGUAAUCGCGCAUCAGCCAUGGCGCGGUGAAUACGUUCCCGG
rnacentral:rRNA from 1 species